UCUUCUCUCUUCCUCGCGAGGCUCCCGUUGGCCAGUGCUGUCCUGAACCCGAGGAACGCUUUUGCUCUUUGCAAUUCCCACAUUCGAAACAGAGUCUCACAACUCAGCCACGUUUUCUGCUGAGCCAGCCACUGGGAACAAACACCAAAAGACCUGGAGCCACAGAAGCACUCAUACAUGAGCCAAGAAGAAAAAAAUCGUGUGGCAGCCUCCCAGCUCUGCUCUGCAACCAUGCACUUCCUGUUUACUGCCCAAGACCUGAUGAACCUGUACUGAGACUGCCCAGGGCACGUUAGAGUCACCACAACCCCUGCUAGAUGACUAUUUUGAUAUGGAGGCGAAAGAAUUGGUCCCCUCAGCCCUUGGGGAUAAAGUUAGGACCAUCAGUGGCCAGUGUUAUGCCCUUGCUCAAGGAUUUGGAACUGGGAACCAAAAGGGAAAGCGCACCUGACUUGGCAAUGUCCGCACAAACAGCCUCUCAACACUGGGACGUUUAUAGUGAAGGACGCAUCACCAAAGAGAGUUGUCAUUCAUUGGGAUGGCCUGGCCGUAAUAAACUGUCCUGAAUGGAA